GACGAACGCUGGCGGCGUGCUUAACACAUGCAAGUCGAACGGAAAGGCCCUGCUUUUGUGGGGUGCUCGAGUGGCGAACGGGUGAGUAACACGUGAGUAACCUGCCCUUGACUUUGGGAUAACUUCAGGAAACUGGGGCUAAUACCGGAUAGGAGCUCCUGCUGCAUGGUGGGGGUUGGAAAGUUUCGGCGGUUGGGGAUGGACUCGCGGCUUAUCAGCGUGUUGGUGGGGUAGUGGCUUACCAAGGCUUUGACGGGUAGCCGGCCUGAGAGGGUGACCGGCCUCAUUGGGACUGAGAUGCGGCCCAGACUCCUACGGGAGGCAGCAGUGGGGACUUUUGCACACUGGGCGGAAGCCUGAUGCAGCAACGCCGCGUGCGGGAUGACGGCCUUCGGGUUGUAGACCGCUUUCGCCUGUGACGAAGCGUGAGUGACGGUAAUGGGUAAAGAAGCACCGGCUAACUACGUU
rnacentral:rRNA from 1 species